GACAGAGGGUGCAAACGUUGCUCGGAAUUACUGGGCGUAAAGCGCGUGUAGGCGGACUGGUGUGUCGGAUGUGAAAUCCCCAGGCUCAACCUGGGAACUGCAUUCGAAACUGCCAGCCUUGAGUGGUGGAGAGGGAAGUGGAAUUCCUGGUGUAGAGGUGAAAUUCGUAGAUAUCAGGAGGAACACCAGUGGCGAAGGCGGCUUCCUGGACAACUCCUGACACUGAGGCACGAAAGCUAGGGGAGCAAACAGG
rnacentral:rRNA from 1 species